CCUACGGGUGGCUGCAGUGGGGAAUAUUGGACAAUGGGGGGAACCCUGAUCCAGCCAUGCCGCGUGUGUGAAGAAGGCCCUCGGGUUGUAAAGCACUUUCAGUGAGGAAGAACGCCUGGUGGUUAAUACCCAUCAGGAAAGACAUCACUCACAGAAGAAGCACCGGCUAACUCCGUGCCAGCAGCCGCGGUAAUACGGAGGGUGCGAGCGUUAAUCGGAAUUACUGGGCGUAAAGCGCGCGUAGGUGGCUUGAUAAGCCGGUUGUGAAAGCCCCGGGCUCAACCUGGGAACGGCAUCCGGAACUGUCAAGCUAGAGCGCAGGAGAGGAAGGUAGAAUUCCCGGUGUAGCGGUGAAAUGCGUAGAGAUCGGGAGGAAUACCAGUGGCGAAGGCGGCCUUCUGGACUGACACUGACACUGAGGUGCGAAAGCGUGGGUAGCAAACAGGAUUAGAUACCCUUGUAGUC
rnacentral:rRNA from 1 species